rnacentral:lncRNA from 1 species
AACACAUACAACAACUAAAGCAAUCAUUUAAUUAAACCUUACAUUCAUACAUCAGAAUCCGUAGACAAUCUUUGAGAAGAAAAAUAGCAGUAAGUCAAACAAUCCUAGAACUGCCGGCACUCUUGCCAAGAACCAACCAAGCACAAGAGAGAGUAAGCGAAGAGGUGGCCAACACAACACACACAAGACCAAACAUACUUGAACCCACCGUUCACGGUACCAAGCCAGAACCAAAACGCCUAACACGAAACUCCACAAAGAGAAGAGACCAGCACCAGAAACUAAAGCCCCCUCCUCCAGCGAAACCUUCAUCGGAAGGCCUAAAACCCCAACCUCCUUAUACUGCUUCACCAGAAGCCAACGAGGGACGAGCGAAUCAGAUGAACAACCGGAACAAACUUAUUAAAAGGUCGCGAGAAGGACUCCUUUAAGACUGAGAGAUAGAGAGGUAACAAGAAACUUGAAACUUCUGAAGAACAAUAGGCA